GUGAAUCAUCGAAUUUUUGAACGCAAAUUGCGCUUCCUAGGAUCACGGGAAGUAUGCCUGGUUGAGGGUCAGUAUUAACAAAAAAAUUGGUUUGGUUGCAAAUUGUGAUGUUUCUGGAGUUUGGGUUAUCUUAACCUUUUUGGUUAAGGGGUCUAAAAUUGACCUUUUUUGCGCAUCUUUAGUCGUUUAUAAAUUUUUUUUUUUAUUCGUUUGUUUUUAUGC
rnacentral:misc_RNA from 1 species